rnacentral:rRNA from 1 species
AGCCAUGCAUGUUUUAGAAGCGAAUAUAUUGCGGAUUGAUAGACGGCUCAGUAAUACUGCGAUGAUUUGAUUGAUGUGGGGCGAGUAACUACGGGAAACUGUAGGUAGACGGCCGCAGUGUAUUGUGUUUUGUUUGGCAGUAUGCGUGUUGAGUAAGUUGCAGGCCUAUCAACUGGUAGUUAGGGUAAUGGCCUAACUAGGUGGUGACGGGAGACGGGGGAUUAGGGUUUGAUUCCGGAGAGGGAGCCUGAGAGAUGGCUACUACGUCCAAGGAUGGCAGCAGGCGCGAAACUUGCCUAAUCUUUGUAGUAGGAGGCAGUGAUGAGACGUGAUGUGAUUUGUGGUGCAUUGUAAAGAGAUGUACUGGUAUUGGAGGGCAAGUCGGGUGCCAGCAGCCGCGGUAAUACCUGCUCCGAUAGUGUCUAUGGUUAAUGCUGCAGUUAAAAAGUCCGUAGUUUUGAUUUGGGGCUGGUUAUGCCGGUUUCUGGAGUAUGUUUUAUGAUGCCAGUGUUAAUACCUGGCUGUGGAUGUAUUUCGAGUUGUGCGCAACGGAUGAGGGGCAUUGGAUAGUUGGGCGAGAGGUGAAAUGUGAUGACCCUGACUGGACGAACGGAAGCGAAAGCGAUGCUCUUGGAUGGAUGUGUGGAUCAAGGACGAAGGCUGGAGGAUCGAAAUCGAUUAGAUACCGUUUUAGUUCCAGCAGUAAACGAUGCCGACUGGAUGGUGUGUGAUGCACUGUGCUUGAGAAAUUGAUGAGUAUGUGGGUUUUGGGGAUAGUAUGUUCGC